UACAGAGGGUGCAAGCGUUGUUCGGAAUUAUUGGGCGUAAAGGGCGCGUAGGCGGUGCGGUAAGUCUGUAGUGAAAUCUCUGGGCUCAACUCAGAGUCUGCUGCAGAAACUGCCGUGCUUGAGUGUGGGAGAGGUGAGUGGAAUUCCCGGUGUAGCGGUAAAAUGCGUAGAGAUGUGGAGGAACACCAGUGGCGAAGGCGACUCUCUGGACUGUGACUGACGCUGAGGCGCGAAAGCGUGGGGAGCAAACAGG
rnacentral:rRNA from 1 species